rnacentral:sRNA from 1 species
CUUACGUUCACUAAGUGAGGUCCUUCUUUUACUAACAUAGGU